rnacentral:rRNA from 1 species
GACGAACGCUGGCGGCGUGCCUAAUACAUGCAAGUUGAGCGCUGAAGGUUGGUACUUGUACCGACUGGAUGAGCAGCGAACGGGUGAGUAACGCGUGGGGAAUCUGCCUUUGAGCGGGGGACAACAUUUGGAAACGAAUGCUAAUACCGCAUAAAAACUUUAAACACAAGUUUUAAGUUUGAAAGAUGCAAUUGCAUCACUCAAAGAUGAUCCCGCGUUGUAUUAGCUAGUUGGUGAGGUAAAGGCUCACCAAGGCGAUGAUACAUAGCCGACCUGAGAGGGUGAUCCGCCACAAUGGGACUGAGACACGGCCCAAACCCCUACGGGGGGCAGCAGUAGGGAAUCUUCGGCAAUGGACGAAAGUCUGACCGAGCAACGCCGCGUUAGUGAAGAAGGGUUUCGGGUCGUAAAACCCUGUUGGUAGAGAAGGACGUUGGGGAGAGUGGAAAGCUCAUCAAGUGACGGUAACUACACAGAAAGCGACGGCUAACUACGUG